rnacentral:rRNA from 1 species
GAUGAACGCUGGCGGCGUGCCUAGUACAUGCAAGUCGAGCGAACGGACGAGAAGCUUGCUUCUCUGAUGUUAGCGGCGGACGGGUGAGUAACACGUGGAUAACCUACCUAUAAGACUGGGAUAACUUCGGGAAACCGGAGCUAAUACCGGAUAAUAUUUUGAACCGCAUGGUUCAAAAGUGAAAGACGGUCUUGCUGUCACUUAUAGAUGGAUCCGCGCUGCAUUAGCUAGUUGGUAAGGUAACGGCUUACCAAGGCAACGAUGCAUAGCCGACCUGAGAGGGUGAUAGGCCACACUGGAACUGAGACACGGUCCAGACUCCUACGGGAGGCAGCAGUAGGGAAUCUUCCGCAAUGGGCGAAAGCCUGACGGAGCAACGCCGCGUGAGUGAUGAAGGUCUUCGGAUCGUAAAACUCUGUUAUUAGGGAAGAACAUAUGUGUAAGUAACUGUGCACAUCUUGACGGUACCUAAUCAGAAAGCCACGGCUAACUACGUG